GGUAGAAAGCGUCCAAAUAUCGCCAUCAUCGCAUUGUAGCAUUCUGUGCCUAGGUUGAGUUGAGCCUUCACAACCAUUACUGGCGCGAUGGCAUCCAGCUGACAAAUCUCAGUUUUCUCGUGGAGAGGAUGUUUUGAAGACUCCAACAUUUCAUAGAAGGCCUUUGCAGAUUCCUCCAUCUCAUCGUCCGAAUCCCGAGCAUCAUCAAAGUCUUGCACGAUGUCUUCGAUCCCGGUACCAUGCUCGUCGGUGCGACGAUGAAUCACC
rnacentral:lncRNA from 1 species